rnacentral:rRNA from 1 species
UACGGAGGAUGCAAGCGUUAUCCGGAAUGAUUGGGCGUAAAGCGUCCGCAGGUGGCUAUGUAAGUCUGCUGUUAAAGAGUGAGGCUCAACCUCAUAAGAGCAGUGGAAACUACAUGGCUAGAGUGCGUUCGGGGCAGAGGGAGUUCCUGGUGUAGCGGUGAAAUGCGUAGAGAUCAGGAAGAACACCGGUGGCGAAAGCGCUCUGCUAGGCCGCAACUGACACUCAUGGACGAAAGCUAGGGGAGCGAAUGGG